GCAGCACGUCACCGCACAUCACUCCCGAAUAACGAAAAAUGGGCAAAGACGCAGGUCGUGGGUGGAGCUGAUGCAACGUUUUGCUGAAACCACUCCCGCCUAGCUCGACGUGACCGAGUUAGCUCAUGCUAAGGAGCUAAUGCUAUAUGCUACUCUGCGUUAGCAGAGGCAGCUUCUAAAUCCCCAGUGCUGUAUGGUGGAGGUUGGAACCUGUGACUGUUGUUGCUACCAGUCUAUGGUCGUUACCAGCUCACAGUCAAAAGUCACAUUGUGGAUCAGAUGUCCCACCUGGAGACCAGAGACCUGGGAUGCAUCCUCAGUGUGCUGGAAGUCUAGAUCUGUUGGGGUGGACUGACAUGGAAAGGCCUUCUCUCCUUUGGGUUAUAGUUCAUUUAUAUAAAAAAGAAAAGAAAAAAAAGAUGAUUUAUGGUUCACUUUGUAAUUCUCUACCUUAUACUUUAAAAUAAAUAAGGAGCCAUACACCUAGUAA